ACAAGCGGUGGAUGGAUGUGGAUUAAUUCGAUGCAACGUCGAAAACCUUACCUACCUUGACAUGUCUGGAAUGCCGAAGAGAUUUGGCAGUGCUCGCAAGAGAACCGGAACACAGGUGCUGCAUGGCUGUCGUCAGCUCGUGUCGUGAGAUGUUGGGUUAAGUCCCGCAACGAGCGCAACCCUUGUCAUUAGUUGCUACGAAAGGGCACUCUAAUGAGACUGCCGGUGACAAACCGGAGGAAGGUGGGGAUGACGUCAAGUCCUCAUGGCCCUUAUGGGUAGGGCUUCACACGUCAUACAAUGGUCGGGACAGAGGGUCGCCAACCCGCGAGGGGGAGCCAAUCCCAGAAACCCGAUCGUAGUCCGGAUUGCAGGCUGCAACUCGCCUGCAUGAAGUCGGAAUCGCUAGUAAUCGCGGAUCAGCAUGUCGCGGUGAAUACGUUCCCGGGUCUU
rnacentral:rRNA from 1 species